GUGAAAUGGUUUGCCUUGUGACAGCGACAAAAACAUUAGCAACUUUGUCUUUUGGGAAUGAAAGGUGGCUCUGAAGACUAGAAAGGAGACUUUGCCGCAAGCCCCACACGCCUCCUCCUUUCUGGCACUUGCAUUGUCUCUUCUUGGCAACAACCUACUCCUCACUGGCCUUUGGAACAGAUGAACGAGGCUCUUCCGGUCCUGACAUCUGUCCACCUUUGCCGGUCCUACCUCUCCCCACCUGGUCCAAAACAGGCCAUGCUCCACUAGAUUGAAGCUCUCUCCAAAUGAGCUGCACCGUUCUUGCCUUCUCGGGGCCUUGACAGGUGCAGUCUGUACUCUAGGAUGUCUUUUGUGCCAUGCCCAGCCGGCAAAUUCCCAGCCUAGGCUUCGAGUCUGCUGGGGUGUGGCUGCACACUGGUGUCCUCAUGAGAAGAGGGAAAUCUGGACACAGAGAGAGACACACAGGGAGAACUCUAUAAGGAGAUGGCAGAAAUUGGAGUUGCACAGCUGUGAGCCGAGGAUGACAGGUGACAUCAGAACCUGGGGCAGACAUGGAACAGGUUCUCCACUAGAGCCUUUCAGUGAGAAUGGCCCAGACAACACCUUAAUUUUGGACUUCCAGUGCCCAGAAUGUGCGUCACAGGGGGCACACUGUGGGAGACUGAAGGCUGCACACUGUGUGCGGACAAUGUCCCACUUUUGGAACUGCUCUCUGCUGAAUGUAGAAGAACCAGCCCAUGACAACAAGUUGGAGUGUCGUGUGUUGUGGGAGGAAAUCCCACAAAGUGGGGGAGAAAUGUGCUCCUUAGAUGUUAUCUGAUGGGCCAAGUCAGUCCUGAGAGCUCUGCCCUGAUCCCGUGAGACGCUACAGUAGGCUUCCCAUGAGCCUUAUACUUCCCAUUCUUCGAAUAAAAACUGGUUUGCACAGAC